UACGAAGGGGACUAGCGUUGUUCGGAAUCACUGGGCGUAAAGCGCACGUAGGCGGAUGUGUCAGUCAGGGGUGAAAUCCCGGGGCUCAACCUCGGAACUGCCUUUGAUACAGCACGUCUCGAGUCCGGAAGAGGUGGGUGGAAUUCCUAGUGUAGAGGUGAAAUUCGUAGAUAUUAGGAAGAACACCGGUGGCGAAGGCGGCCCACUGGUCCGGUACUGACGCUGAGGAGCGAAAGCGUGGGUAGCGAACAGG
rnacentral:rRNA from 1 species